UACGUAGGGACCAAGCGUUGUUCGGAUUUACUGGGCGUAAAGAGCGCGCAGGCGGUCGUUCAAGUCGCGUGUGAAAGCCCCCGGCUCAACUGGGGAGGGUCACGCGAUACUGAUCGACUGGAAGGCAGGAGAGGGUAGUGGAAUUCCCGGUGUAGUGGUGAAAUGCGUAGAUAUCGGGAGGAACACCAGUGGCGAAGGCGGCCACCUAGCCCGCACCUGACGCUGAGGCGCGACAGCGUGGGGAGCGAACUGG
rnacentral:rRNA from 1 species